rnacentral:rRNA from 1 species
UUAUAUGUGAUUUCUGCUCAAUGAUUUAAAUAGCUGCAGUAAUCUGACUGUACUAAGGUAGCAUAAUCAUUAGUUUUUUAAUAAGAAACUGGAAUGAAGGAAUUUUAAAAUUAUUAAAUUUUUAUUAAUUUAUUAAAGUUUUAUUAAAAGUGAAAAUACUUUUAUGAACUUAUUAGACGAUAAGACCCUAUAAAUCUUUAAUUAAAUUUUAUUUGGGGUAAAUAAAAUAAUUAUAAAAUUAUUUAGGUAAGUUACUUUAGGGUUAACAGGGUAAUAAAUAUAUCAAGAUCUUAUUGAUAUUUUUGUUUACUACCUCGAUGUUGGAUCAUUAUACUAAUUAAGUAGAAUUAAUUAAUUUUAGUCUGUUAGACUAUCAAAUCUUACGUGAUCUGAGUUUAGACCGAUGUAAAUUAGGUUAGAUUUUAUCUUUAUUAAUAAUAGUAUAGUACGAAAGGAAAAAAUUAUUAUAUUAAAAAU